rnacentral:rRNA from 1 species
GACGAACGCUGGCGGCGUGCUCAACACAUGCAAGUCGAACGGAAAGGCCCCCACUUUUUUGGUGGGGGUGCUCGAGUGGCGAACGGGUGAGUAACACGUGGGUGAUCUGCCCUGUACUUCGGGAUAAGCUUGGGAAACUGGGUCUAAUACCGGAUAGGACCAUGGUUUAGUGUCUCAUGGUGGAAAAAUUAUUGUUUUGGUGCAGGAUGAGCUCGCGGCCUAUCAGCUUGUUGGUGGGGUAAUGGCCUACCAAGGCGUCGACGGGUAGCCGGCCUGAGAGGGUGGACGGCCACAUUGGGACUGAGAUACGGCCCAGACUCCUACGGGAGGCAGCAGUGGGGAAUAUUGCACAAUGGGCGCAAGCCUGAUGCAGCGACGCCGCGUGGGGGAUGACGGCCUUCGGGUUGUAAACUCCUUUCGUUAGGGACGAAGCCGCACCUUUUUUGGGUGUGGUGACGGUACCUUUGUUAAGAAGCACCGGCUAACUACGUG